UACGUAGGGAGCUAGCGUUGUUCGGAUUUACUGGGCGUAAAGGGCGCGUAGGCGGCCACCGCAGGCCGACUGGGAAAUCUCCGGGCUUAACCCGGAAAGGUCAGCCGAUACUGCGGGGCUAGAGUGCAGAAGGGGCGACUGGAAUUCUCGGUGUAGCGGUGAAAUGCGUAGAUAUCGGGAGGAACACCUGCGGCGAAGGCGGGUUGCUGGGCUGGCACUGACGCUGAUGCGCGAAAGCGAGGGGAGCGAACGGG
rnacentral:rRNA from 1 species